AGAGUUUGAUUAUGGCUCAGGAUGAACGCUGGCGGCGUGCUUAACACAUGCAAGUCGAACGGAGUUUUUAAACGGAAGUUUUCGGAUGGAAGUUUAAAGACUUAGUGGCGGACGGGUGAGUAACGCGUGGGUAACCUGCCUCAUACAGGGGGAUAACAGUUAGAAAUGACUGCUAACACCGCAUAAUAUAGCGAAACCGCAUGAUUUUUGCUAUCAAAUAUUUAUAGGUAUGAGAUGGGCCCGCGUCUGAUUAGCUAGUUGGUGGGGUAAAAGCCUACCAAGGCGACGAUCAGUAGCCGGCUUGAGAGAGUGACCGGCCACAUUGGGACUGAGACACGGCCCAAACUCCUACGGGAGGCAGCAGUGGGGAAUAUUGGACAAUGGGGGAAACCCUGAUCCAGCGACGCCCGCGUGAGUGAAGAAGUAUUUCGGUGUGUAAACCACUGUCGGAAAGGAAUAACGGAAGACUUCGGUCUUUAUGAAUGUACUUCUAGAGGAAGCACCGGCAAACUUCGUGCCAGCCGCCGC
rnacentral:rRNA from 1 species